AUGCCCAUGGGCAGCCCAUUGUCC
rnacentral:siRNA from 1 species